rnacentral:rRNA from 1 species
AUGAGUUCAGCCAACCACCCGCAGACGGAUGGCCAGACGGAGAGGGUCAAUCAGUGCCUGGAAACCUUCCUUCGAUGCUUCACGCACGCGUGUCCCCGUCGAUGGAGCUACUGGAUUCCUCUUGCACAGUUUUGGUACAAUUCUUCCCAUCAUUCUGCCAUUGGAAUGUCACCUUUCCGUGCUAUGUACGGGCAUGAACCACGGCAAUGGGGGAUUACUACAACGACGGCUUGUUUAGUGCCGGCCCUUAUUUCCUGGCUGGAUGAAUGCGUCGUUGUGCAAGACCUCCUUCAACAGCAUCUACACCGAGCAAGGCAGUGCAUGAAACAACAGGCUGACAGAAAACGAUCAUUCAGGGCCUUUGAAGUAGGUGACUCAGUUUACCUCAAGCUGCAACCUUAUAUUCAAACUUCAGUAGCUCCCCGCGCCUGUCACAAGCUGGCCUUCCGCUUCUUUGGACCCUUCCAGAUUGUUGGGCGGAUCAAUGAGGUGGCCUACAGGCUCCAGUUACCACCUCAUGCGCAAGUGCAUCCUGUCUUGAGCUUCCAACUUAUUCUGACAUACCUUCAGUGCCAGUGGUAG